GAGCGGAUGACGGGAGCUUGCUCCUUGAUUCAGCGGCGGACGGGUGAGUAAUGCCUAGGAAUCUGCCUGGUAGUGGGGGACAACGUUUCGAAAGGAACGCUAAUACCGCAUACGUCCUACGGGAGAAAGCAGGGGACCUUCGGGCCUUGCGCUAUCAGAUGAGCCUAGGUCGGAUUAGCUAGUUGGUGGGGUAAUGGCUCACCAAGGCGACGAUCCGUAACUGGUCUGAGAGGAUGAUCAGUCACACUGGAACUGAGACACGGUCCAGACUCCUACGGGAGGCAGCAGUGGGGAAUAUUGGACAAUGGGCGAAAGCCUGAUCUAGCCAUGCCGCGUGUGUGAAGAAGGUCUUCGGAUUGUAAAGCACUUUAACUUGGGAGGAAGGGCAGUAAGCUAAUACCUUGCUGUUUUGACGUUACCGACAGAAUAAGCACCGGCUAACUCUGUG
rnacentral:rRNA from 1 species